GCGUCAGCCCACCACACUCUGAGGACUGCAGCACAGUAGCUGCAGGCCAUUGGAGCCACUGCGGGCCAGUACAAUGAGUUUGACAUCGACUGCGGGCGCCUGAGCAGCAUUCCCACGGCUGUCUUCGAGAUCCACGGCAAGAAGUACCCCCUGCCACCCUCCGCCUAUACCAGCCAGGACCAGGGCUUCUGCACCAGUGGUUUCCAGGGUGACUAUAGUUCCCAGCAGUGGAUCCUGGGGAAUGUCUUCAUCUGGGAGUAUUACAGUGUCUUUGACAGGACCAAUAACCGUGUGGGGCUGGCGAAGGCUGUCUGAUUGCAUCACUGGCCAUGGACCUCAAUGUGACCAAACACACACACGCACAUAGAUGAGAUGUGCAGGCAGAUGGUUCCCAAUAAAC
rnacentral:lncRNA from 1 species